rnacentral:rRNA from 1 species
UACGGAAGGCAGCAGUGGGGAAUAUUGCACAAUGGGCGCAAGCCUGAUGCAGCCAUGCCGCGUGUAUGAAGAAGGCCUUCGGGUUGUAAAGUACUUUCAGUCGUGAGGAAGGUGUUAAGGUUAAUAACCUUAGCAAUUGACGUUAGCGACAGAAGAAGCACCGGCUAACUCCGUGCCAGCAGCCGCGGUAAUACGGAGGGUGCGAGCGUUAAUCGGAAUUACUGGGCGUAAAGGGCACGCAGGCGGUUAAUUAAGUUGGAUGUGAAAUCCCCGGGCUUAACCUGGGAAUGGCAUUCAAGACUGGUUAGCUAGAGUCUUGUAGAGGGGGUAGAAUUCCAUGUGUAGCGGUGAAAUGCGUAGAGAUGUGGAGGAAUACCGGUGGCGAAGGCGGCCCCUGGACAAAGACUGACGCUCAUGUGCGAAAGCGUGGGGAGCGAAACAGGGAUUAGAUACC